rnacentral:rRNA from 1 species
GAUGAACGCUGGCGGCGUGCCUAAUACAUGCAAGUCGAGCGAACAGACGAGGAGCUUGCUCCUCUGACGUUAGCGGCGGACGGGUGAGUAACACGUGGAUAACCUACCUAUAAGACUGGGAUAACUUCGGGAAACCGGAGCUAAUACCGGAUAAUAUAUUGAACCGCAUGGUUCAAUAGUGAAAGACGGUUUUGCUGUCACUUAUAGAUGGAUCCGCGCCGCAUUAGCUAGUUGGUAAGGUAACGGCUUACCAAGGCGACGAUGCGUAGCCGACCUGAGAGGGUGAUCGGACACACUGGAACUGAGACACGGUCCAGACUCCUACGGGAGGCAGCAGUAGGGAAUCUUCGACAAUGGGCGAAAGCCUGACGGAGCAACGCCGCGUGAGUGAUGAAGGUCUUCGGAUCGUAAAACUCUGUUAUUAGGGAAGAACAACUGUGUAAGUAACUAUGCACGUCUUGACGGUACCUAAACAGAAAGCAACGGCUAACUACGUG